ensembl:lincRNA Gm44066 predicted gene, 44066
GCUCUCCACCGGCUUUACACAAACUCUCCGCUGAGCUCUCGCACUCUUCGGGCCUCACGCCCGCCGCCCUCACCGAACCACACCNNNNNNNCCCUCACCGAACCACACCCGCAACAAUCCCGGAAGGUCUUUCCCGCCCCACGUCCCCCGCGGGCCACGCCGGGUAACACAGUCCCGGCACCGCAAGGCGACUGCGCGCUCAGCCCGGAACAUCCGUGACUGCAGGGAGGCUGCACACGGAGGCCACCCUCCUCAGGGAUGACUGACACGUCUCAAAACUCAAUCCUCCCGCAUCCUGCUGGGAGCACUUGGAAGCUUGCCCCUGGUUUUCGUCCACGUGCGGGACUCCAGGAAAGGUCGGACCAGCGUGUGACGAAAACUCGACAUGAAAAUAAAAUAGUGCGUGGACAUCUCUGAUUCUUGCCCACUGGUCCCCCGAUCACCAGAACGUUCACCUUCAGUCGUAGACAACCCCUUCAAGGUGCCCACCAGCUCGGGAGGACCGCCUCACCCUCAGCUUUAACAGUCCUUGCCCAGGGUGCAU